CAUGCAAGUCGAACGAAACUUAGUGAGCCUCGGUUUGCUAAGUUUAGUGGCGCACGGGUGCGUAACGCGUGGGAAUCUACCCCUAGCUGCGGAAUAACUCAGAGAAAUUUGAGCUAAUACCGCAUAAUGUCGCAAGACCAAAGAUUUAUCGGCAAGGGAUGAGCCCGCGUAAGAUUAGCUUGUUGGUGAGGUAAAAGCUCACCAAGGCGACGAUCUUUAGCUGGUCUGAGAGGAUGAUCAGCCACACUGGGACCGAGACACGGCCCAGACUCCUACGGGAGGCAGCAGUGGGGAAUAUUGGACAAUGGGCGCAAGCCUGAUCCAGCAAUGCCGCGUGAGUGAUGAAGGCCCUAGGGUUGUAAAGCUCUUUUACUAGGGAUGAUAAUGACAGUACCUAGAGAAUAAGCUCCGGCUAACUCCGUGCCAGCAGCCGCGGUAAUACGGAGGGAGCUAGCGUUGUUCGGAAUUACUGGGCGUAAAGCGCGCGUAGGCGGCUCGUCAAGUCAGGGGUGAAAGCCCGGGGCUCAACCCCGGAACUGCCUUCGAAACUAGCGAGCUAGAAUCUUGUAGAGGUUAGCGGAAUUCCGAGUGUAGAGGUGA
rnacentral:rRNA from 1 species